UAUAGUUACAGCCAGUAAUGGACUGUAUACGCUUGGUCACUGAUACUUUGUAUUAAGCGUACUUUCAAGUACGCCAGUCAAGUGGGAAGAGCAGCUGAUUUUCAGCUGCUCUUUUUUGUCUAU
rnacentral:sRNA from 12 species